UAAAGAUCAAGAAUAAAACUUGUCUCAAAUUCACAAUAAAAUCAAUAUAGAUAAUCAAGAAAAGAGCAGUUACAUUUUUCUUUGGUGUGAUUGAAGUUUAUUUCCUUCACGAAAUAAGGACAAUAAAAGCUUAUGCAUCAACUUAUUCGAUACCAUUUCCUAUUGUCUGAAGUAUAAUCAAUCACCCCUUUUGUUGUUGCUAGCAAGACCCAAUAUUCCCAUUAACUUUUGCAUAAAAUGAUAUGUCUCGCACAUGGUGUUAUACUUGUGCAGCUCCCAAGCCAAGACUAUUGCCUUUGCUUCAAUAUUUCAGUUACUUUCCCUGCAUAUUCCGUUCCAAUUUUUUCUGUUUUCACGAUAACAUAUUUAACUUUAGCAGCUUCUUCCACAACAUAGGUUGCUAGACUCUUGCUUUGUUCUUGAACACUUUAUUUUGCAAUUGAAUCUAUCUCCCCAGGGGAAGGAGUUAUUGUUUCACCAAUUGUAGUGAUCUUCUCCUUAAUCUUCCAUGUUCUGGGACAACAAAGAACGAAAGGAGAAAAAAUAAUGCAUACUCUAUCCAGAGAAAAAAAAAUUAUUUGAAGGUUGAACAAAAAUAUACCUAUUAUAUAAAACUGAUUAAAAAUAUUCGUGAAGGAAUAAUGGUAUCAUAUACCGGUAUCAUAAUUGUCCUUGAACACGAGAUACUUGAACCAAUUUUUAUUGCUUGCUUCAGUUUUUUAAUCCACCUCGCACCAAAGCAGCCAAAGACCCAAUUACAAUCUCACACACAUAUUUCGAACCACUUGACUCCCUUAGCAACACAAUGUCGAACAAAAUUGAGCUUCACUUUGGAGUCUAUAAUUAUUUGUAAGCUUUCGCUACGUAUAAAUUUAUUGACUGUAUUUAUCGAGAACACAAGAAAAUGAAUAAAAAAAUCCGAAGUGGCUACUGGCAGUUAGUUUCACAUAAAAAGCCACAAAAAUUCACGUACUUAAAAGUCAAUAUAUUUAUACAUCACAGUUGGUUCGAAUUUUAUUUUCCGUGAAUAGCAACACUUGAAGAAUCAUACAUCAUUUAUUUUGAAUGAAAAAACUGGCAGCAAAAAAAAAACUCCAAAUACUGAUUUUUUUGAGAUAGUAACAACACCUGAAAAAAGCACGCAUCAUUUGUUCAACGGUUUUGCACUUCUUUUUACAAAAAUCAGUCCAAUAUACCUGAUAAAAAAAAUUAAAAAUAUACCCAAAAAAUAAUAUAUAAAUCUGUUAGGAUUUAAACUUUAAAUCAGCCAUUUGUUGAUCAAAUAAAUCAGAUAAAUAACUUUACAUUUGUUGAUCAAAUAAAUAACUUUAUAUUUGUUGAUCAAAUAAAUCAGCCAACUGACUUGAAUUAUCAUUAGUAGAGUUUUCAAGUUCCUCAAUUAUAAGGUUUAAAAUGAAUAAGAACCACUUCUUUCUAUUAGUACAUCCAAUGGAAAGAAGAUGUACCUUCUCGUCAAAAUAGUGAAAUGUAUACCGAAAACACUUUACAUAAGUAAAUUCCAUAUCAAGUCUUAUAUUUCGUAUGAUAUAUAAUUCUAGUAAACAACAUUAGAAGAUGAAUCAAGUUUAUUCUGUUAUGAUAUCGACAUAUGAUGAAAGAAAAAUAUCCAUUUCACAGUUCAUUGUUAAUGGCAUAGAAGGUCUAGUAAUGGUUUAGCUUAAAAAGUAAAUAUUUGUAUGGAGUGACAUCAACUGAUACUUAAGAAAGAAAAUUAUCCAACAAAGAAUGGUAGGAAUAAGUAAUAAACCGCAUUUUACUAUAAGACCCAUUUAAUUGAUUAAGUAAAAUAAAUAAAAUGGUUUAAUAAUUUUUCGCAAAGUACAAUGAUAGAUUUCUCCCUUUGGGGGGGGGGGUGNNNNNNNNNNNNNNNNNNNNNNNNNNNNNNNNNNNNNNNNNNNNNNNNNNNNNNNNNNNNNNNNNNNNNNNNNNNNNNNNNNNNNNNNNNNNNNNNNNNNNNNNNNNNNNNNNNNNNNNNNNNNNGGGGGGGGGGGGGGGGGGGGGGGGGGGUAUUGGGCAAAGAGUGUUCGGGGCCAGAAUAAAAAAUAAUAAAAAGUAACCAAUAAACUUGCUAGAGUUGUAUUUAUAGAAGGUAUUGCUUUCCUCUAGAGAUGCUUUCCUCUAAAGAUAAGUGACUCGCCCAAUUUCCCUAUAAAAUAUUCAAAUUAAUAUGUUUUAUAAUACAAGAAUUUACCACAUGGAGAUUCAAGGUAAAGUUAUUUUUCAUAGGAAGUCAUAAUUUACAGGUUGUGACUAUUUUUCAAAUAAACUUUAGUCAUAUACCAUCAGAAUCCCCAAACAUGGACUACUACAUUCAUAUUUUUCAAUCUCUAGUGAUACCCACCAAGAAACAGAAAUACCUGUUUGCAUGAUUAUCAUGAGCAACAUAGUAGAAGGUGUACUUAGUUUAACACUUGUAGCUUGCAAACGACAAUUGGGAUGUUAUGGUGUUAUGAUAGCAUCCAAUCAAGUUUAUGAAGGCAGAAAUAAUGGACUUGCAUCAAAAUGCAUAAUUGCUUGUGCUUGAAAAUAUGCCAUUGGCCAUAUACAAAACCAAAAUAAUAAAUUGUCGACAUUAAUUCAUUGUAGUACCUAUAUAUCAAGCUUAUUAAGGUACCCUUUUAGCGGGCGCAUUAUCGUGUAACUUUAUUAAAUUAUAUGUUAAUAACUUACUGAAAAUGAUCAGUGCUAAGAAUCUAUGGCUUUCAUUUUCAAUUUAACAUUCCAUCAUGAAUUUAUAAUAAGAAAAAAAUGAUAAAAAGUAAAUAUUACAAUUUUUCUAUACUUUAGCAAAUAAGGUGUCUGAUUACCACUUAGGCACUUGAAAGUUAAAAUUUAAUACCUUCAGAGCUGAUUAAAAGUAUUAUAAUAUUUUUGUGAGAAAAAUUUGAGUUAAACAAAAAUACUGAUAAUUUUGAAUCAGUUGUCCAAAUAAUUUUUAAAUUGCUUUGUAAAAGCUCAAAUCUCUUCAAAGAUUUGGUAGACCAUGAAAUUUAAAUUUAUUUUAAUCAUCAUUGAAUGCUGACUCAAUAAAAAUUUAAAAAGGUGCAACAAAAUUUGGCCAAGAGUAUGAGAAUGACAUUGGUAUUCCCUCCAUUCCAAAGAAGAGGUCGAUUAGCCAAUUUUGAAGUCCAUGAGGUAGUUUACUUCCCAUUGUGAUAGAAAGAAAUUUCUGCAUAAAAAAUAUGUAACUAAAAAAUGUUGUUUAUUCAUUAAACUAUAAAUUACCAAUAUUUCAUUGUCAAAUAUCUCAUAAGCCGAUGAGUACAAAAAAAUCUAAAUAAGAAUCAUGUUACAAAAUUACCAUGGCUCCACUAUAUUCAGUCAUACCUUAUUAGGGAUUCCAGAGUUCAUAGUUUUCGAUUUGGCAUGUGAUGCCAUGCCAGUCAUCAACUAAAUAUUGGGGCUAUUUUAUAGUUCAUUAGAUUAACCAUGCCUACCAUAGAGGAAUGAAAAAAUUAUAUUUCUAAAUACAAUAAGAGCAGAAUUGAAAAAGGAACAAUAAUUGUAAAGGAGUCCAAAUGUGUGUGAAAGCCUUUUACUAUCUCCAUUAUCAGCAGUGGUGGAUCUACCUAUUAAAAAUGGGUGCUCGAGCACCCAUUAACCUCGACGCAGAGUAUGCAUAGUUGUAUAGAAAAUUUGAGAAAACGUAUAAAAAUUUACAAAAGCACCCAUUAAUUUUAUGUACAAAAAAAAUUCAGCACCCACAAACUUGAAUUCUUAGAUCCGCCACUGAUUAUCAGCCUUGAAAAUUAAUUCCAUUUUAUAUGUGCCUAGCUCCAAAUUAGUAGCCUGUUACUUUCUCUACUGAACAAAUUAUUUAAUAAUGAAAGAAAUGAAAAUCAAUGAGUGAAGGAAGAAAGAACCGGAAAAGUUUAUUGCUUUUCUAUAUUCUUAUUAAAUAUCUGUUCAUGAUCUAAAGAAGCAAGGAGUAAAAGGAAGAAAGAAUUAAAAAAUUCGUUGCUCUUUCUAGAAAUUUAAUUAAUGUUUUAGAAUUACAAAUCAUUGAACUUACCUCUUGGAGAAUUGUUAAGUGGUAUGCGAAGAAAUGAGAAAGAAUUGGAGGUUUAUACAUGUGAAAUUGAUCCAAAAAAUUUUGUUACUGGGACUCCGGCGAAGAAGGAUUAAUGGAUUGGAAGUUGAGAUCAUGGGACAACAUGGGUUGUUUGAAGCGCAACUCUUUAGGGUUUAGAAAUUUA
rnacentral:lncRNA from 1 species